rnacentral:rRNA from 1 species
UGCCAGACUCCUACGGGAGGCAGCAGUGGGGAAUAUUGGGCAAUGGGCGCAAGCCUGACCCAGCAACGCCGCGUGAAGGAAGAAGGCCCUCGGGUUGUAAACUUCUUUUGUCAGGGACGAAGAAAGUGACGGUACCUGACGAAUAAGCCACGGCUAACUACGUGCCAGCAGCCGCGGUAAUACGUAGGUGGCAAGCGUUAUCCGGAUUUACUGGGUGUAAAGGGCGUGUAGGCGGGACUGCAAGUCAGAUGUGAAAUUCCAGGGCUCAACCCUGGACCUGCAUUUGAAACUGUAGUUCUUGAGUGAUGGAGAGGCAGGCGGAAUUCCGUGUGUAGCGGUGAAAUGCGUAGAGAUCGGGAGGAACACCAGUGGCGAAGGCGGCCUGCUGGGCUCUAACUGACGCUGAGGCACGAAAGCGUGGGUAGCAAACAGGAUUAGAUACCCCAGUA